rnacentral:rRNA from 1 species
AGAGUUUGAUCCUGGCUCAGGAUGAACGCUAGCGGCAGGCUUAACACAUGCAAGUCGAGGGGCAGCGGGGAGGAAGCUUGCUUUCUCCGCCGGCGACCGGCGCACGGGUGAGUAACACGUAUGCAACCUGCCCCUGUCAGGGGGACAACCCGCCGAAAGGCGGGCUAAACCCGCGUACAUGCCACCGGGGCAUCCCGGAGGCAGGAAAGGCUUCGGCCGGACAGGGAUGGGCAUGCGGCGCAUUAGGCAGUAGGCGGGGUAACGGCCCACCUAACCGACGAUGCGUAGGGGUUCUGAGAGGAAGGUCCCCCACACUGGUACUGAGACACGGACCAGACUCCUACGGGAGGCAGCAGUGAGGAAUAUUGGUCAAUGGUCGGGAGACUGAACCAGCCAAGCCGCGUGAGGGAUGAAGGUACAGAGUAUCGUAAACCUCUUUUGUCAGGGAACAAAGGCGGGGACGCGUCCCCGGAUGAGUGUACCUGAAGAAAAAGCAUCGGCUAACUCCGUGCCAGCAGCCGCGGUAAUACGGAGGAUGCGAGCGUUAUCCGGAUUUAUUGGGUUUAAAGGGUGCGCAGGCGGUCUGUUAAGUCAGCGGUCAAAGCCCGGGGCUCAACCCCGGCCCGCCGUUGAAACUGGCAGUCUCGAGUUGGAGAGAAGUAUGCGGAAUGCGCGGUGUAGCGGUGAAAUGCAUAGAUAUCGCGCAGAACUCCGAUUGCGAAGGCAGCAUGCCGGCUCCACACUGACGCUGAGGCACGAAAGCGUGGGUAUCGAACAGGAUUAGAUACCCUGGUAGUCCACGCAGUAAACGAUGAAUGUUGGCUGUCCGGGGGGACUGACCCCUGGGUGGCGAAGCGAAAGCGAUAAGCAUUCCACCUGGGGAGUACGCCGGCAACGGUGAAACUCAAAGGAAUUGACGGGGGCCCGCACAAGCGGAGGAACAUGUGGUUUAAUUCGAUGAUACGCGAGGAACCUUACCCGGGCUCAAACGGGGAGUGACUCAGGCAGAGACGCCUGUUUCCCACGGGACACUCCCCGAGGUGCUGCAUGGUUGUCGUCAGCUCGUGCCGUGAGGUGUCGGCUUAAGUGCCAUAACGAGCGCAACCCCCGCGUGCAGUUGCUAACAGAUAACGCUGAGGACUCUGCACGGACUGCCGGCGCAAGCCGCGAGGAAGGCGGGGAUGACGUCAAAUCAGCACGGCCCUUACGUCCGGGGCGACACACGUGUUACAAUGGGUGGUACAGCGGGAAGCCAGGCGGCAACGCCGAGCGGAACCCGAAAUCCACUCUCAGUUCGGAUCGGAGUCUGCAACCCGACUCCGUGAAGCUGGAUUCGCUAGUAAUCGCGCAUCAGCCAUGGCGCGGUGAAUACGUUCCCGGGCCUUGCACACACCGCCCGUCA